rnacentral:lncRNA from 1 species
GGGGCACCUAGAUAGAAGUCUUCACGCCAUCACAUGGGAGACUCCACAUGCCAAGACUCCACACCUGGAUAGGAGUCUUUCACCGUGUGAUUUUUUUCUUUCUUUUGUUAUGUCGCACAAAAUCAAGAUGAUGUUACAUGGUGAUUAUUGGUCUCCCCUUUAAAUAGAUUAGGCAUCUUAAAUCUGGUUAAAGACAUAA